rnacentral:rRNA from 1 species
GUAAGGCUGAGCUGUGAUGGCGAGCGAAAUAUAGUAGCGAAGUUCCUGAUUCCACACUGCCAAGAAAAGCCUCUAGCGAGGUGAGAGGUGCCCGUACCGCAAACCGACACAGGUAGGCGAGGAGAGAAUCCUAAGGUGAUCGAGAGAACUCUCGUUAAGGAACUCGGCAAAAUGACCCCGUAACUUCGGGAGAAGGGGUGCUCUGUUAGGGUGCAAGCCCGAGAGAGCCGCAGUGAAUAGGCCCAGGCGACUGUUUAGCAAAAACACAGGUCUCUGCGAAGCCGUAAGGCGAAGUAUAGGGGCUGACGCCUGCCCGGUGCUGGAAGGUUAAGAGGAGCGCUUAGCGUAAGCGAAGGUGCGAAUUGAAGCCCCAGUAAACGGCGGCCGUAACUAUAACGGUCCUAAGGUAGCGAAAUUCCUUGUCGGGUAAGUUCCGACCCGCACGAAAGGCGCAACGAUCUGGGCACUGUCUCAACGAGAGACUCGGUGAAAUUAUAGUACCUGUGAAGAUGCAGGUUACCCGCGACAGGACGGAAAGACCCCGUGGAGCUUUACUGCAGCCUGAUAUUGAAUGUUGGUACAGCUUGUACAGGAUAGGUAGGAGCCUUGGAAACCGGAGCGCCAGCUUCGGUGGAGGCAUCGGUGGGAUACUACCCUGGCUGUAUUGACCUUCUAACCCGCUGCCCUUAUCGGGCAGGGAGACAGUGUCAGGUGGGCAGUUUGACUGGGGCGGUCGCCUCCUAAAA